UACGGAGGGUGCAAGCGUUAAUCGGAAUUACUGGGCGUAAAGCGUGCGCAGGCGGUUUGUUAAGUCUGUUGUGAAAUCCCCGAGCUCAACUUGGGAAUUGCAAUGGAUACUGGCAGGCUGGAGUAUGGUAGAGGAAGGUGGAAUUCCCGGUGUAGCGGUGAAAUGCGUAGAUAUCAGGAGGAACACCUGUGGCGAAAGCGGCUCACUGGACCACAACUGACGCUGAUGCACGAAAGCUAGGGGAGCAAACAGG
rnacentral:rRNA from 1 species